rnacentral:misc_RNA from 1 species
GAUGAAGAACGUAGUGAAAUGCGAUAAGUAAUGUGAAUUGCAGAAUUCAGUGAAUCAUCGAAUCUUUGAACGCACCUUGCACCCUUUGGCAUUCUGAAGGGUAUGCUCGUUUGAGUGUCAUUGUACUCUCACACUCCCGAUCUUUGCAUUGGGAGCAGUGGACUUGGGUUUGCUGCUUCACCGUCGCUUACCUCAAAUAGGUUAGUGCAACUCUUGGUUGGACAUAGUACGGCGUGAUAAGUGUUCUUCGCCGGUGCCUCGCAAAGAGGGUGGCCGAUCGGGAUGUUGUGCUCAAAACCGUCUUCGGACAAUCUCUGACGACUUGACCUCAAAUCGAGUAAGACUACCCGCUGAACUUAAGCAUAUCAAUAAGCGGAGGA